UGAAGCAGGCUCCAGGCUCUGAGCUGUCAGCACAGUGCCUGAUGUGGGGCUCGAACUUGGGAACGACAAGAUCAUGACCUAGACCAAAGUCGGACGCGUAACCCAGCCACCCAGGUGCCCCAAGGGGGCACACUCUUAUAUGCACAUGGAUGUGCACUCAGAGCCUCCAGGGAAUGUCACCCCCAUGUGCCCACAGGAAAAAACCCCAUCAAGUUGUGGAGUAUGAGUCUACACGAGCAGCUCGGCUGGCCCCAGCUGGGUGAAGCGAAGCUCAAUUUCAGGUUUCCUGUGUGCUCUUGUGUGUGCAAUUAGGAAAAGAAAAUGGCAGGAAGAUGGAAACUGAGGAGUAGGGGUCCAGGUUUGUGCACCAAGUCCCUGCGGGGUCAUGUGGCGUAGGCUGACUGCUCUGAGCUCCCUGGCGGGCAGUGCAAAGAGGACUACUCUGUCACUGCAGUAGGUGCUGGAAAAAGCAACUCACAAGGUAGGUGCACAGCGUUUCCUAGAGCGCAGCCCUGGGACAGAUUUCUCCUGUGGGGCCUCUCAGAGGAGACAGAGUGACGACAAGGACUUGAUGCUGACGUUCUGAGAGGUGGAGGCAUGCUGAAGUUUGGGGAACAGAGAGCAAGUGGGCGAUUAUACGACCAGGGGGCAGGUCGGGCCUGGGUGCUGAGAGGAAGGAGGGAAGGGACAGAUGAAGGAGUACUGCCUGUCUUUACAAGGCAAUUUAAACGAUUUUUUUAAAAAGUUUAUUUUGAGAGAAAGAGGGAGAGAGAAUCCCAAGCAGGCUCUGCACUGUCAGCAUGAUGCUGGACAUGGGGCUUGAUCCCAUGACCUGAGCUAAGGUCACGAGUGAGACGCUUAACUGACUGACCACCCAGGCGCCCCUCCAAGGCAAUUUAGAGCAAGGAACGAAAGGGUGGGGGAAUUCUGGAACCUCAGCCACUUCCCCUUGUUUCUUAUUUUGAUGCUGGUACUCAAUUCCUAGGCAUGGUAUCAGCAGGAACAACAGACAGACGGAAGGAACAUGUGUGCUUAUUUUGAGACACCGAUAUGGGGGGGUGUGAGUUUCCGGGGAGACUGGCUUUUCUGGUAGACUUCUCGGAGCAAGAGAUGGGGCAUCUAAAAAACACCCAGAAAAGUCACUUUCUCAAGGUCACUGGCUGGUAGCGACAGAGUCAGACUUGGGCCCCUUGUGCUGGCACAGCUCAGCUCAUACUACUACCCGCUGUGUGACACUGAACAAGUCUGUCUCCCACUCUGGCCUCAGCUUCCCCACUUUCACAGAGGGGCCCUUUCAGUCUCCCAGGCGUGACUGCAGGAGGAGGGAGUGGGCCGGAUAUGGGAAGGGAGAUGUUGGUGGGCGGGAGGACCAGGGGACAGCAGUACCUCUCUGAUGUGGAGGACGGUGCCGUUGGGCGGGCGCACGAAGACGGGGCGGUUAUCGUUGACGUCGAUGACCUCCACCAGGAGCAUGGUGGUGCCCCAGAGUGGAGGCUGUCCGCCAUCCGUGGCCACCACGGUCAGGUUGAACCUCUCGUAGGACUGCAGUGGCCGCUUUGUGGUCACCAGGCCUGAGUCUAGGUCCACGUGGAAGGCCUCUGGCAGGUGGGACAAGAGAGCAGGGCCUGGCUCUGGCUGAGACGUCCUUCCCGUCCCUCCUCCUCCUGGCCCUGGGGCUGCCCCUCUCACGCCCAAGGCAUCAUGGGUGGGGAGCAGACUACUUACCCACGCCAGGGCCCUCAAGUGAGUAGGCCAGCUCCCCAUUGGAGCCCUCAUCCUGGUCGGUGGCCAUCAUGGUGAUGACUGAGGUGCCUGCCGGCUCAUUCUCAUACACGCUUGUGCUGAACUGGGGCUUGGAGAACUGUGGCCGGCAGUCAUUGACGUCUAGCACCUGGAUCACCACCUGGGGGCGGGGGGGGGGAGGUUGAGGUCAAAGGUCAGGAGCAUACUAGGUUGCUGCUUCAGGUGACCCGGUCACACGGGAGUAAGCCAGGGUGGACAGUGCCCACUGUUGGAGUCUGACCUCAAUUUCUUUAACCCCGAGUCUCAGUUUUCCUCGCCGUUGGGGACGGUAGUAUCUUAUCUCUCAGGGGCUAGUGAGGCUCACCCAUGAUGGUAUGUGUGCCCAAUGCCUGGCUCAAGGAAAUGCUUUGCAACUAGUACUGUGGUUACAGGAUCAUCUGCGUCUGGGCCCAGAAGCAGGGAGCCCUCCUCGCCCGCCUCCUGCUCUGCCCUCUGCUGCUUCCCACAGUGGCCCUAGACAUCUGACUCUGAUCUCUGGAUCUUAAUGCUGGGCUGUGCUUCCUCCACUCCCAGAAGUUCUCUCUUGCCGGGGAUCUGUGUCUGGCUUGGGACUUGGCUCCCUCUGCCGACCCCACAGCCCAGGGCGGGUCCUAUGGACACAGCAGGUGAGGAGGCCCUUUCCCCGCGUAGCUCCCAUGGCCCUGACAGCAGCCUCAUCCGAGUCCUUCACGGCGGUGAUUUCAAGAACCCCUCUCCGUGCACAAAGCACUUGCCAACUCCCCAUCUCCCUGCCUCACCACUGCCUUGGGCAGGAAGCAUCAUCAUUGCUGCCCUUUCUCCCAUCCCCUACAGAUUUGACAGCUGAGGCUCGGAGAGGUCACAUGCCAAAUGCAGGGUGCUCAGCUAGUGGGAUCUCUGUCUUCUGGCUCCAAAUAAUGGGCUUUUCCCAGCACAGCACGUGUGACACGACACAGCCCAUGUGACAGGGACAGGAUUCGGGUACGUGUGAGAGCUCCCAGCCCCUUCCCCCCCUACCUGCUCACAAGAAUUUGUCUUUGCCCACCCAACUUCUCACCCACUCCCACCCUUUACCUUGGAUGGUUAGGUUAUUGCGGGAAGAUGUGGAGGAACUGGAUAGAGAAUGACAGGACUGGAGAAGGCAGAACAGGGGGGACGAAAGAAGGAGAAAGCAAAGCCUCAAGGCAUACUCUGGAGAGAAGUGGGGCUAGAGUUUAGAAGGUGGUACGCUGGCCUCAGGGUGAUGGCAUCGGUGCUAGAACUGGAAUAGAAAUGGGGCUGGGAACUGGAUCCCUCGCUAAUGUUCUUUAAGAGACAUAAAUAAAGAUAAUCGCUCUACGAU